rnacentral:rRNA from 1 species
AAUUGCCAUCAUUUUUGGGCACUUUAUUGGGACUGCCGGUGACAAACCGGAGGAAGGUGGGGAUGACGUCAAGUCCUCAUGGCCCUUACGGGCUGGGCUACACACGUGCUACAAUGGCGGUGACAAUGGGACGCAAAAGGGCAACCUCUCGCAAAUCUCAAAAAGCCGUCUCAGUUCGGAUUGGGCUCUGCAACUCGAGCCCAUGAAGUUGGAAUCGCUAGUAAUCGUGGAUCAGCAUGCCACGG